rnacentral:ncRNA from 2 species
CCCACCCACCCUCCAUCCCGCGUAGAAUCCAGCCGUUGCGUCGUGCGGAAGCCGGUGUGAAUCCGGCGCGGUCGCGCCACUGUCAGCGGGGCAUUCGCGUGCCCGCGAGCCAGACCCGCACGCGCGCGAUCCUUUCAUUCCAU